UCAGCAUCUGCUGUCUCUUGUGUCUCCAAAGUUUGUGAUAUCCAGUGGCUGUUAUAUGGUUCACACUUUGGGUGAAAAAGCUCUCCACCUAGUUUGAUGCCUUAUCCAGGCAACCGUUCUACAGAAAGAAAAACAAUAUAACUCUGGGUAGAGAUGUAACAAUGGUGGAUUCUUUGUUCUCACCUCUCUCGCUGAACUGUGAAGGAAAGCUUAAGAUCUUUAGAGAGCUGUCAUCACUGCACCCAUCUCUUGAAGCCUUGAUCAUUCCUUGUGCCGUGAUAGUGGUGUCAUGGGAUGUUUAAUAUCUACCACAGAAGGCAGAUGGAGCUUCAGUUUAAUACCUUCUAAGGCCGUGCCUCUGACUGUGCAAUGGUCCUU